UGCUUUUGUACAUGCUGCAGACACCAAUCACUCACCCUGAGCUGAGAUGCCUCUGGGACUGGGCAGCUGGAAACAGCCUCACAGCGACGCAGCCCAGAGAUCACCCUACUCCUGUGGUUGAAGCAAAUGGAAGGACAGACCAGAUGCCAGGAAAUCUGUGGUUACUAACUCAGGCAUGUAGAUGGGGCUGUUGCUCUGCUGCGGGAAGAGCAGAGGAAAACAAAGACUCUCACUGGAAUGGGGAAAUGAGAACCAAGACUUCAUCUGCUGGACAGCCGUCCUGCAUCAGACCCAUGGGCACAGCCCUACAUGGAUAUGGAAUUUGUAUCAACAUCUGCAUUAGUGUCUAGAAGACGGAUAGCUACAGAUUUGCAGGGCACUACCUAUGGGCCCAUAUAGCUGAAUGCGCAGCUGCCUCCCUGCUGCCCCAGAUCUGUCCCAUGCACCUGGAAGCACAUGGAAGCUGCUUGUAAUAUUUUGAUGACUAUUAAAUAUUGGGAAACAGCUAACAGUUCUGUGGCACCGUAGAGACUAACAAAUAAAUCAUGAGCUUUCAUGGAUAAAAUCCACUUCAUCAGAUCAGUUAGUAAGCUCAUGAUAUAAUAUAGUUGUUAGUCUUUACAGUGCCACAGGACUGCUCAUAGUCUGUAACUUUAAAAACAAACACAACUCCCCUUCUGAGAUUUUAUUAUAGAUUGUGUGUGUUUUUCUGAUAGUUAUGAUGUUGUUUGCUUUAUGUUUAUGAUGACUGAUAGGAGCUCUGACACUCCAAGGACGAACAUGGUAUUAGGUCAUAGAGAGUACACAAUUGACUAUAAUACCCGUAUUUUCCGAUCUUCACAACAGACCUCAAAACCCAAUAACUUUGAAGAUCGUUCCCGCCUAGCACUGGGAAAAUCUUUGUUCAGUUGAAAAACACCAGUUCAAAAUGACACGAAAACUUUCCUGAAUUUGUGCUGAUUUUUCUGAAUUGUUUAAACGUUGAAGGA